AGUGAACGCUGGCGGCAUGCCUAACACAUGCAAGUCGAACGGCAGCACAUUAAUCGCUUGCCCUAACGGGUGGCGAGUGGCGGACGGGUGAGGUUUACAUCGGAAUCUACUUUUUCGUGGGGGACUACUUAGGGAAACUUACGCUAACACCGCAUACGAUCUACGGGUGAAAGCAGUGGAUCUUCGUUCCUUGCGUGAUUGAAUGAGCCGAUGCCGGAUUAGCUAGUUGGCGGGGUAAAGGCCCACCAAGGCGACGAUCAGUAGCUGGUCUGAGAGGAUGAUCGGCCACACUGGAACUGAGACACGGGCCAGACUCCUACGGGAGGCAGCAGUGGGGAAUAUUGGGCAAUGGGAGCAAGCCUGAUCCAGCAAUGCCGCGUGGGUGAAGAAGGCAUUCGGGUUGUAAAGCACUUUUGUUAGGGAAGAAAAGCAGCAGGUUAAUAACCAGAAGUUCUGACGGUACCCAAAGAAUAAGCACCGGCUAACUUCGUG
rnacentral:rRNA from 1 species